GUACAGCAACAACAUUUUACUGAAAAUUUUUAAUAUUGUUUUUAAAAGUAGUAUACAGUAAAAUUGCUUUAUAUUUUUGAGAUUUUAUUUAUUUAUUCAUGAGAGACACAGAGAGAGAGGCAGAGACACAGGCAGAGGAAGAAGCAGGCUCCCCGCAAGGAGCCAAAUGUGGGACUCGAUCCCACAUCCCAGGAUCAUGCCCUGAGCUCAACCACUGAGCCACCAGGCAUCCCUGCUUUAUAUUAUUUUUUUGAAAAUUUUAUUCAUUUAUUUGAGAGAGAGUGAGAGACAGAUCAUGAGUGAGGGGAGGAGCAGAGGGAGAGGGAAAAGCAGACUCUCUGCUGAGCAGGGAGCCCCAUGCAGGACUCCAUCUGGGAACCCUGGGAUCAUAACCUGAGCCCAAGGCAGAUGCUUAACAACUGAGCCACCCAGGCGCCCCAAAAUGGGCUGUUUUAUGCUCACUUGUAUGAACGUUAACACAUGGAGAGAUUUAUGUGGCAAAAAAGAGGGACAGCUGACUGAGUACUGGUGAAGCCACCCUGGUUAUUUGGAGUUCUCUGUACUGAUUGCUGCAAUGAACCCCAGCAGUGGCACUCUCCCAUUAUUUCCUUCUCCCCAGCUCUGGGUCCCUGUAGAGAGAUCCUUUGAUGCUACCGCCACCAACCACAUCUGUUACAUUGCUGAUGCCCUUCGAAUGAUCCCUUACCAGGGCUCACUGAUCAUGCUCACACUACAGCUGGCUGUGGUGUCUGUCCUGAAACUAUGAAUGUCCAGGACGUAGAUUUCUCUGUAAGUCUGGCUUGAUCUUCGAGAGCUCCUAGCAAUGCCUUUCAUCAUUAUCAGCAUUCUAAACUGGGGCUGCCACUUUGCACUCCUAACAUUUCAAGCAAAUUUUGGAAGUCCUUCCCCAAUUAUUUUGCUUUGUUUUGACUUUUUGACCUUUCUUCUUUUUUUUUUACCCGUCAUGUUUUUGGGUCAAGGAUUCUUUAGGCACUUGGCCCAAUAUCUGAGUGGCAGGCAUGGUGUGGCUCUCAUAAUCCUUGUGCUGUUGAGUCAUUCUCUGUUGCAUAGAAUAAUUCUUUUCAUAGGAUUCCUGCUUGGUCUUUCAUUCAAUCUUAAAGGGCUCACCUCUGUUAUCCCCCAGACAUGUCCAGAUUCACUGAAUCCUACGUGCACACAGCAUCCCUGGCUAGAUUUUAGAAACCUCAGUCAACAGAAGUAG
rnacentral:lncRNA from 12 species